rnacentral:rRNA from 1 species
UACGUAGGGGGCAAGCGUUGUCCGGAAUCAUUGGGCGUAAAGCGCGCGUAGGCGGCCCUGUAAGUCCGUUGUGAAAGUCAAAGGCUCAACCUUUGAAAGCCGAUGGAUACUGCAGGGCUAGAGUCCGGAAGAGGCGAGUGGAAUUCCUGGUGUAGCGGUGGAAUGCGUAGAGCUCCGGAGGAACACCAGUGGCGAAGGCGGCCGCCUGGGCCAGUCCUGACGCUGAGCCGCGAAAGCGUGGGGAGCGAUCCGG